rnacentral:rRNA from 1 species
AAUUUUGGACAAUGGGGGAAACCCUGAUCCAGCCAUCCCGCGCGUAUGAUGAAGGCCUUCGGGUUGUAAAGUACUUUUGGCAGAGAAGAAAAGGCAUCUCCUAAUACGGGAUGCUGCUGACGGUAUCUGCAGAAUAAGCAUCGGCUAACUACGUGCCACCAGCCGCGGUAAUACGUAGGGUGCAAGCGUUAAUCGGAAUUACUGGGCGUAAAGGGUGUGUAAGGAGGUCGGAAAGGAAGAUGUGAAAAGCCAAGGGUCAACCUUGGAACUGCAUUUUUAACUGACGAGCUAAGGUAUGUUAGGGGGGGGUAGAAUUCCACGGGUAGCCGUGAAAUGGGUAGAUAUGUGGAGGAAUACCGAUGGCGAAGGCAGCCCCCUGGGAUAAUACUGACGGUCAGACACGAAAGCGUGGGGAGCAAACAGG